rnacentral:lncRNA from 1 species
UCAAAUCUUGCUUCCAUUUUAUCACGAGGAUUGCUUAGCAUUUAUGCUCACUAUUAUAAAAGCUGCAUACUUAUUUGGCGCGCAGAUCCGCCGCUGUUUUAGUCCACCGUGAAUCUCAAGCUUCUUCCGCCGCAAACCGCUCACAUGUUCAAAGACCACGUGCUUCCCACAUGCGUCCCACACUUCGCCUCGCGUCUUCCAUGCUGACUUUUAAUAGUAUACAAAUAAGUAUAACUUUUUUUUGUCAACUAACAAUAUAACUUAUAUACAAGUAUAUUAUAGAGGUCAUUAGCUAGUUUCUCAAUUUUUUAACACAAGUGUUGUUUUAUUUUUCUCGUGUACUUCAAUAUGGAGUAGGAGAUAAUUUUCUAAAGUUUGCGUAAGCGUAAAUAUAAGCAUGUACUUGGUAAUGAUGCAAUGCAAAUUACUAGCUAGACAUUACGUAUCGCGUAUAUCGUGCAUGCAUUUUAUCAGCAUGAUCCUUGACCAAGAUAAAACUGUCCGCCCAGGUAAUUAAUCGUAUUCUAAGUACAUUCAAAAUGUUAACCACGGACAAUAUUGCACGAGUUUAUCUUAGUCUUUUUUUUUCGUGUGGUCAGGGAUUUGUAUCAGAGCUUGGAUAUACGUAGCGAUUCGAUAAACUCGAGUUGUUCGGAAAAAUGCGGCUAGGAAUAAAAUACAGUAAUACACAACAAGAUAAGAUGGCGAAAGGUUCAGACUUUUGCUAGAAAAUGGAGGAAUGUAAUAUAAAAUUGGUGAUAUAAUAUAGCGAUGAUAAUGGUUGAGUUCUCCGCCAAUCCAUUUCUAACGCUCUAGAGAC